rnacentral:rRNA from 1 species
UACGGAGGGUGCAAGCGUUAUCCGGAUUCACUGGGUUUAAAGGGUGCGUAGGUGGGUUGGUAAGUCAGUGGUGAAAUCUCCAGGCUUAACUUGGAAACUGCCAUUGAUACUAUCAAUCUUGAAUACCGUGGAGGUCAGCGGAAUAUGUCAUGUAGCGGUGAAAUGCUUAGAUAUGACAUAGAACACCAAUUGUGAAGGCAGCUGGCUACACGAAUAUUGACACUGAUGCACGAAAGCGUGGGGAUCAAACAGG